GAUGAACGCUGGCGGCGUGCUUAACACAUGCAAGUCGAACGGAAAGGCCCAAGCUUGCUUGGGUACUCGAGUGGCGAACGGGUGAGUAACACGUGGGUGAUCUGCCCUGCACUUCGGGAUAAGCCUGGGAAACUGGGUCUAAUACCGGAUAGGACCACUUCUUGGAUGUUGUGGUGGAAAGUUUUUUCGGUGUGGGAUGAGCUCGCGGCCUAUCAGCUUGUUGGUGGGGUAAUGGCCUACCAAGGCGUCGACGGGUAGCCGGCCUGAGAGGGUGUACGGCCACAUUGGGACUGAGAUACGGCCCAGACUCCUACGGGAGGCAGCAGUGGGGAAUAUUGCACAAUGGGCGCAAGCCUGAUGCAGCGACGCCGCGUGGGGGAUGACGGCCUUCGGGUUGUAAACUCCUCUCGCUAGGGACGAAGCGUUUUGUGACGGUACCUGGAGAAGAAGCACCGGCUAACUACGUG
rnacentral:rRNA from 1 species